rnacentral:rRNA from 1 species
GAUGAACGCUAGCGGCAGGCUUAACACAUGCAAGUCGAGGGGUAGAGGCUUUCGGGCCUUGAGACCGGCGCACGGGUUCGUAACGCGUAUGCAAUCUGCCUUUCACAGAGGGAUAGCCCAGAUAAAUUUGGAUUAAUACCUCAUAGCAUAACACAACCGCAUGGUUGAGUUAUUAAAGUCACAACGGUGAAAGAUGAGCAUGCGUCCCAUUAGUUAGUUGGUAAGGGAACGGCUUACCAAGACUUCGAUGGGUAAGGAUCCUGAGGGGGAGAUCCCCAACACUGGUAGUGAGACACGGACCAGACUCCUACGGGAGGCAGCAGUGAGGAAUAUUGGUCAAUGGGCGCAAGCCUGAACCAGCCAUGCCGCGUGCAGGAUGACGGUCCUAUGGAUUGUAAACUGCUUUUGUACGAGAAGAAACACUCCUUCGUGAAGGAGCUUGACGGUAUCGUAAGAAUAAGGAUCGGCUAACUCCGUGCCAGCCGCCGCCGUAA